rnacentral:tRNA from 1 species
CAUUAUGAAGCUAACUUCAGCGUUAACCUUUAAGUUAAAGAUUAGGAAUUAAGACUCCUCAUAAUGAG